rnacentral:rRNA from 1 species
UCGAGAAUCUUCCGCAAUGGGCGAAAGCCUGACGGAGCGACGCCGCGUGUAGGAUGAAGGCCCUCGGGUUGUAAACUACUGUCACGGGUUAUGAAUGUGCAUAUGUUAACAGCGUGUGUAUUGACGUAAGCCCGAAAGGAAGCACCGGCUAACUCUGUGCCAGCAGCCGCGGUAAUACAGAGGGUGCAAACGUUGUUCGGAAUUACUGGGCAUAAAGCGCGCGUAGGCGGCGACGUAAGUGUAGGGUGAAAUCCCACGGCUCACCCGUGUGAAUUGCCCCGCAUACUGCGUUGCUCGAGUGUGGUAGGGGAGAGCGGAACUCCUGGUGGAGCGGUGAAAUGCGUAGAUAUCAGGAGGAACACCGGUGGCGUAGGCGGCUCUCUGGUCCAUAACUGACGCUGAAGUGCGAAAGCUAGGGUAGCGAACGGGAUUAGAUACCCGCGUAGUCCCUGAGCGGGCUGGCAAGGCGCAU